GACGAACGCUGGCGGCGUGCCUAAUACAUGCAAGUAGAACGCACAGUUUAUACCGUAGCUUGCUACACCAUAGACUGUGAGUUGCGAACGGGUUAGUAACGCGUAGGUAACCUGCCUGGUAGCGGGGGAUAACUAUUGGAAACGAUAGCUAAUACCGCAUAAUAUUAAUUAUUGCAUGAUAAUUAAUUGAAAGGUGCAAUUGCACCACUACCAGAUGGACCUGCGUUGUAUUAGCUAGUAGGUGAGGUAACGGCUCACCUAGGCGACGAUACAUAGCCGACCGUGGAGGGUGAUCGGCCACACUUGGACUGAGACACGGCCCAGACUCCUACGGGAGGCAGCAGUAGGGAAUCUUCGGAAAUGGACGAAAGUCUGACCGAGGAACGCCGCGUGGGUGAAGAAGGUUUUCGGAUCGUAAAGCUCUGUUGUAUGAGAAGAAUGGGUGUGAGAGUGGAAAGUACACACUGUGACGGUAACUUACCAGAAAGGGACGGCUAACUACGUG
rnacentral:rRNA from 1 species